rnacentral:rRNA from 1 species
CUUGCUUUCUUUGCUGGCGACCGGCGCACGGGUGAGUAACACGUAUCCAACCUGCCCUUUACUCGGGGAUAGCCUUUCGAAAGAAAGAUUAAUACCCGAUAGCAUAAUGAUUCCGCAUGGUUUCAUUAUUAAAGGAUUCCGGUAAAGAAUGGGGAUGCGUUCCAUUAGGUUGUUGGUGAGGUAACGGCCCACCAAGCCUUCGAUGGAUAGGGGUUCUGAGAGGAAGGUCCCCCACAUUGGAACUGAGACACGGUCCAAACUCCUACGGGAGGCAGCAUG